GGCGGGCCGCGGCCGGCCGGCGGCGCCCCCGCACCUCGCCCAGCUGCACUUCCAGCCGCGCCUAUCAGACGCCGAUCAGCGACGGGGGUACGCGGCCCACAUCAACAGCAGCCCGGCGCGCUUCGUGUACGCGUCUGAGCCGUACCCGGCGUCGGGAGGCUACCGAGCCGGCCACCAUUGCGCCGUGCGGCCGACCUGAGCGGCUGCAGCGGCGGUGGUGCCGCCCGGCGGCUGUCGCACGAACCGUCGGUGAUAGUCCUGUGCAAGAGGUGGAGCCUCUGCUGUGCGGUGCGAGUGGUUAAGCUUGGACAGCAUGCGACGGCUUUGAUAGCGCGUCGUUUUCAGAUUUUGGGAGAUGGUUAUUUGACACAUACCAUGUGUAAUGACUGGAUUGCUCAAAUGUCUCCUAUAUGCAUAUUGUUCUAGGUUAUCUUUGAUAGAAGCAUAAUUUAUUAUGUUAUUUGUUGAUGUUACGAGACUUUAUGGACGCAGUUGCCACUGUUUAAACUGAUGCACAACUUUAAGGCCUCCUCCACUUCUAUUUUUACGGGGCGUCUUCGUCUGACGAAGUAUCCCAGCGAGACGUCCUCGUCAUCUUUAUCACCAUACAUGAGGAUCAAUACAACGGAAAGAAAUGC